rnacentral:lncRNA from 1 species
UACAUAAGAUAAUACGCUGGGGAAUCAUUUUUUUUUUUUUUUUUUUUUGAGACAGAGUCUUGCUCUGUUGCCCAGGCUGGAGUGCAGUGGCGUGAUCUCAGCUCACUGCAACCUCCCCGCUAUGCUGGGGAGUCUUAGGGUUAGCUCAGGGCUAUGGCUGAAAUGUUUGCCUUCUGCCCCUGCCAAGUUCAUAUGUUGAAACCUCAACUGGUGUGACGGUAUUUGAAUAUGGGGCCUUGGGGAGGUAAUUAGGUCAAAAGGGUGGAGCCCGUGUAGAUGGAUGAAAGCCCCUAUAAAAAGACAAGAGAGAGCUUGCUUCCGCUCCGCUCUCCACCAGUAAGGAUACAACAAGGAGAGGCCGCCUACAAGCCAGGAAGACAAUCGUUCAGUAGCCUUCAGAUCCGCCAACACCUUGAUCCUGGGCUUGCGGCUGCCAGACCUGUGAGAAAGCGAUGCCCAUUGUUUAAGCCCCUGGUCUUUGAUCUGUUACCGCAGCGCGAGCUGACCACGCACUCAGUGUGAGGCGAUGACCUUUUUCUCAACCAUGCGCAAGUGGUAUUUCUGCGUGCUUCAAAUAUCACAGGCCGGAUUGUCAGGAAACCAAGGAGGGGCCUUUUGGAAGAGAAUGAUGCUGAGCAUCCGGGUCCCUGGACAGCCAGCAGCCCUGAGGCAGACAGAAGUUUGGACAACUCAGGACAGGGAGCUUGGAGGGCAGCCCCUACAUGUCGGAGUGGUCCCUACCUGUGUUGCCUCAACUCUUCCUUCAAGGCAAGAGCCGCUAAGGACAGUCAGGACAUCCUACCGCCCAAGGCUGUUGAGCUCGGCCGGCCAAGGGAGCUUAUAAUUUAGUAGACACAUAAGCCACAAACAGAAGCCAGCUCUGUGUCAGGCCCCAUGAGAAGUCCGCAGGUGCGAUCUUCAAUUUGGAGACUACAGGAAGGAUGGCUGGGGAGGCCUCAGGAAACUUACAGUCACAGCGGAAGGCAAAGAGGAAGCAGGCAGCGGCUUCGUGGCAGGAGCAGGAGGAAGGCGGUGGGGAGGUGCUACAUACUUUUAAACAACUGGAUCUUGUGAGAACUCACUAUCACGAGAACAGCAAGGGGGAAUUCUGCGCCCUGAUCCAGUCACCUCCCACCAGGCUCCUCCUCCAACAGUGGGGAUUACAAUUCGACAUGAGAUUUGAGUGGGGACACAGAUCCAAACCAUAUCAGUGUCAUUAAAAAAAUAGUUGCCCUGCUAACUUUUUUAAUCCCCUGUAACUCUAAAUAAAAUAAUGAUGUGAACAUAACA